rnacentral:lncRNA from 1 species
GGCCAUUGCUUAUAUGCCUCAGAAAAGUUUUCGACUUUCUAAUUUACCUCUUUUAGAAGGCUAAUAUUGAAAAUACCUUUUUUAUGUUCCAACUUAUUUCAAAUAUAUCUAUAGAAUUAAAUUCUGUUAAUGAACUGUUAGCAAUAGCUGUUAUCUCUAUGAAAUUACCAUUUUACUCUUUCAAAUAUAUCUUCUACUAUUACCGACUUUUUUUAAUUGUUCUUAAGUGAGGGGCACAAAAAAGUAUUUUUGAUUUUUUGUAUUUUCAAAUAUACCCUUCAACCAUCAUCAAUAUUUCUUAUUUGCCCUUAAGUUAAGGACAAAAGAGACAUUUUAUUUUUUUUAACUAUGGUAAAUAUUUAACUCAUGUUUAACCCAAGUUAACUCAACGGAUGGUAACUGUAGGGAUAUUUUAAAAUAACAGAAGAACAUAUGAGGGUUAUAUAGGCAAUUAUCUUUAGAGUUUACAUUUUGAUAAUAGGUUUUACAAACAGUGUAUACGACGUAUUCAUACAUCCUGUGCCCAGAACAUUAUCUUCUUUACUAUUCUAAUUUUCUAUUAUUUUAUUAAUAUAUAUAAAUUAUUUUUCUAGCUUUUCCCUCAAAUUUUUUCACAUAUGCUUUAUAAAAUAACAUGGCAUUGCAUGGGUCCUUAACUACUGAAAGGAGAAAUUGAGACUAGCAACAUGUAUUCAUGAUAUAUAGAAGAUUAUAUGAAUAUAUAAACAGCUAACGACCUGGCCCACUAAUAAUAAUAACUUAUUGGACUCAAACCACUGGCCAAAAAUGCUUAAGCCAAGUUAUUAUUACUAAUGUUUAUGGUCUCUUAUAUAUUUAAUUACAGUGCUAUUUGCAUCAAAUAUGAGAUUAUUGGAGCGUCACAGAUUCUCACUUUUUAGACUAACUUGUCUCACUAGCUUUAUCAUUCUGACCCUAACUUAGCUUGUCACCUUAUCAUUCUGACCCUAACUUAGACUAUCAUUCAAACCUUGGCUUAGUUGAGACUUAUCUCACACUUCCGGCUGAUAAUCGGCUCUAAUACCAAAUGUAAGCAUCUGGCCCACUAGCAAUAAUAACUUGUUGGGCCCAAACUACCGGCUUAAAAUGGUUAAGUCCAGUUAUUAUUGUUAGUAUCCAUAAUCUCUUGUGUACUUAAUUACACCUCAUUCCCAUUUGACGUGAGACUAUUGGGGUAUCACACAAUAAUACAUGUGAGUCUUACAUCGAAUAGAAAAAUAAAAUAUGAUUGAGAAUAUAAGGGAUUACGAACCCUAGAGAUAAUAACUAGGUUUCAGCAUUUUAGGCCGGUAGUUUGGG